UACGAGGGGAGCAAGCGUUGUUCGGAUUUACUGGGCGUAAAGAGCGUGUAGGCGGCUUGUUAAGUCUUGCGUGAAAUCUCGGGGCUCAACCCCGAGCGGUCGUGAGAAACUGGCAGGCUAGAGUGCGGGAGAGGAGAGUGGAAUUCCUGGUGUAGCGGUGAAAUGCGCAGAUAUCAGGAAGAACACCCGUGGCGAAGGCGGCUCUCUGGAACGCAACUGACGCUGAGACGCGAAAGCGUGGGGAGCAAACAGG
rnacentral:rRNA from 1 species